GUAGGGACCAAGCGUUGUUCGGAUUUACUGGGCGUAAAGGGAGCGUAGGCGGCAAUUCAAGUCAGUUGUGAAAUCUCCGAGCUUAACUCGGAACGGUCAACUGAUACUGCUUUGCUAGAGUACAGAAGGGGCAAUCGGAAUUCUUGGUGUAGCGGUGAAAUGCGUAGAUAUCAAGAGGAACACCUGAGGUGAAGACGGGUUGCUGGGCUGAUACUGACGCUGAGGCUCGAAAGCUAGGGUAGCAAACGGGAUUAGAUACCCCGGUAGUCCUAGCCCUAAACGAUGAAUGCUUGGUGUCUGGAGUUUCAAUUCUCCGGGUGCCGUCGCUAACGUUUUAAGCAUUCCGCCUGGGGAGUACGUACGCAAGUAUGAA
rnacentral:rRNA from 1 species